ensembl:lncRNA
CACCGUGGGUGGCAGGACAGAGACUGCGAGUGGGAGGACCUAUGCAGAGAGACAGAGGCCUGGCUAACUUCCUUAUUCUGCAUGUCAUUCACCGGCGCAAAGAGAGACGUGUGACCCACACAUUCGGCACCCACACUCACAAGUGUACAACGCUCACUCAUACAAGCGCAAGUAGAAAACAUGAAGUGGGGGCUGGUAUAAUGAUUGAUUACAGACACCUGCAAUUCAUCACAGGUUGUGGAGACCAGGGGCCAGCGAGGUCCGGGGUCUCUAUGGACGCCUCCAAGCCCGGAAAGUAUGUACAUCCAAGGCAGAGGGAGGAGGGAAGUCAGCACACCGGCGGACACUCAGCACCAUACCCUGACGGUGGUGAGGGAACCUGCCUCAUCUGUCUGUCAAACAGACACAGACACAGAC